rnacentral:rRNA from 1 species
GGGUUGUGAGGUUAAGCGACUAAGCGUACACGGUGGAUGCCCUGGCAGUCAGAGGCGAUGAAGGGCGUGCUAAUCUGCGAUAAGCGCCGGUAAGGUGAUAUGAACCGUUAUAACCGGCGAUUUCCGAAUGGGGAAACCCAGUGUGAUUCGUCACACUAUCAUUAACUGAAUCCAUAGGUUAAUGAGGCGAACCGGGGGAACUGAAACAUCUAAGUACCCCGAGGAAAAGAAAUCAACCGAGAUUCCCCCAGUAGCGGCGAGCGAACGGGGAGGAGCCCAGAGCCUGAAUCAGCAUGUGUGUUAGUGGAAGCGUCUGGAAAGGCGCGCGAUACAGGGUGACAGCCCCGUACACAAAAGCGCAUGUGCUGUGAGCUCGAUGAGUAGGGCGGGACACGUGGUAUCCUGUCUGAAUAUGGGGGGACCAUCCUCCAAGGCUAAAUACUCCUGACUGACCGAUAGUGAACCAGUACCGUGAGGGAAAGGCGAAAAGAACCCCGGCGAGGGGAGUGAAAAAGAACCUGAAACCGUGUACGUACAAGCAGUGGGAGCACAGGUUUACCUGUGUGACUGCGUACCUUUUGUAUAAUGGGUCAGCGACUUAUAUUCUGUAGCAAGGUUAACCGAAUAGGGGAGCCGGAGGGAAACCGAGUCUUAAUUGGGCGUUAAGUUGCAGGGUAUAGACCCGAAACCCGGUGAUCUAGCCAUGGGCAGGUUGAAGGUUGGGUAACACUAACUGGAGGACCGAACCGACUAAUGUUGAAAAAUUAGCGGAUGACCUGUGGCU